rnacentral:rRNA from 1 species
AUUGAACGCUGGCGGCAGGCCUAACACAUGCAAGUCGAGCGAGCGGCGGACGGGUGAGAAAUGUAUGGGGACUGCCCGCUAGAGGGGGAUAACUACUGGAAACGGUAGCUAAUACCGCAUACUAUCGGAUAACCCAUAUGGGAUUAGCUAUUAGGGGGGGUAAUGGCUCACCUGGGCGACGCUCCCUAGCUGGGCUGAGAGGAUGAUCAGCAACACUGGGAAUGAGACACGGCCCAGACUCCUACGGAGGCAGCGGUGGGGAAUAGUGCACAAUGGGCGCAAGCCUGAUGCAGCCAUGCCGCGUGUAUGAAGAAGGCCGUAGGGUUGUAAAGUACUUUCAGUCGGGAGGCGUUACCGGCAGAAGAAGCACCGGCUAACUCCGUGCCAGCAGCCGCGGUAAUUC